GAUGAACGCUGGCGGCGUGCUUAACACAUGCAAGUCGAACGGAAAGGCCCAAGCUUGCUUGGGUACUCGAGUGGCGAACGGGUGAGUAACACGUGGGUGAUCUGCCCUGCACUUCGGGAUAAGCCUGGGAAACUGGGUCUAAUACCGGAUAGGACCACAUUUUGGAUGGUGUGGUGGAAAGUUUUUCGGUGUGGGAUGAGCUCGCGGCCUAUCAGCUUGUUGGUGGGGUAAUGGCCUACCAAGGCGUCGACGGGUAGCCGGCCUGAGAGGGUGUACGGCCACAUUGGGACGGAGAUACGGCCCAGACUCCUACGGGAGGCAGCAGUGGGGAAUAUUGCACAAUGGGCGCAAGCCUGAUGCAGCGACGCCGCGUGGGGGAUGACGGCCUUCGGGUUGUAAACUCCUUUCGCUAGGGACGAAGCGCAAGUGACGGUACCUGGAGAAGAAGCACCGGCUAACUACGUG
rnacentral:rRNA from 1 species